UCCUGUUUGGCUCAGUUGGGAGCGCGCGUCACUACAACGGCGCGGUCGGCCGUUCGAAUCGGCGAAUGGGAA